rfam:Trichobilharzia regenti genome assembly, scaffold: TRE_scaffold0110434
GUACUGAUGAAGAGUCCCAAACUAGGAUGAAACAGAGGUCCAGUAC